ACAGAGGUGCCGAGCGUUAGGCGGAAUCACUGGGCUUAAAGCGUGUGUAGGUGGAUCGUUAAGUACCUUGUGAAAUCCCACGGCUCAACCGUGGAACUGCUGGGUAUACUGGCGGUCUUGAGCCACCUAGGGGCGAGCGGAACAAGCGGUGGAGCGGUGAAAUGCGUAGAUAUCGCCUGGAACGCCGACGGUGAAAACAGGUGACUGGGGGUGCGCCGACGCUGAUGCGCGAAAGCCAGGGGAGCAAACGGGA
rnacentral:rRNA from 1 species